CCUACGGGAGGCAGCAGUGAGGAAUAUUGGUCAAUGGGCGCGAGCCUGAACCAGCCAAGUCGCGUGAGGGAGGACGGCCCUACGGGUUGUAAACCUCUUUUGCCGGGGAGCAACGGGCGGCACGUGUGGCGCCACUGAGAGUAACCGGAGAAAAAGCAUCGGCUAAAUCCGUGCCAGCAGCCGCGGUAAUACGGAGGAUGCGAGCUUUCUCCGGAUUGAUUGGGUUUAAAGGGUUGGUAGGCGGAUCGUGAAGUCAGUGGUCAAAUUGAGGGGCUCAACCCCUUCCCGCCAUUGAAACUGGCGCUCUUGAGUGGAAGAGAAGUAUGCGGAAUGCGGGGUGUAGCGGUGAAAUGCAUAGAUAUCACGCAGAACCCCGAUUGCGAAGGCAGCAUGCCGGCUUCCGACUGACGCUGAAGCACGAAAGCGUGGGGAUCGAACAGGAUUAGAUACCCGGGUAGUC
rnacentral:rRNA from 1 species